CUUUGAGACUUCCCAAUGGCUGAGAAUUUUUCAUUUGUUUCUAUUUUGAAAUGGGCAAGUCUGUGUCUUCCAACUGGUUGCAUCAACCCCUUCUUUAGCCCCUAGAUAGCCAAAGGUGUUUAAAGAUCUUUUCUUUCUUUCUUUUUCUUCCUGAGGUCCCUUCACCCUUCUAGGUGACCCUCUUAGACAUGAUAUAAGAUAAACCUAUGUAGACUCCUAUGUCAUGCAUGGUUCAUGUCUAUUCUCAUAUAAACACUCUCAUAUCCAUCCCCCAACAAACUGGGAGUGUGGGGCAAUACUCACCUUUCAGAACCUUUUCCUUUGCUCUCCUGUCAGAACCAGUAGUUGACCAGUUACUUACUCUUUAGAUUUCCUAGGUGUGAAUCAGAUACCCUUGUACUGUGUUCCUCUAAUCAGUCCCCACCACCUACUCUCUAUCUCCUUCAACCUCAGCCCUUUUCAAUGCUCAAUGUAGAUGAGGAGUUUGAGUCAAGUUUUAAACUCACUCCAUCCAUUUGGUUACUCAUCCAUCCAUCCUUCCAUCAAUGAAUGUUUAUUGAGUGUCUACAUUCUCCACACUAUUCUAGGCACUGGGCAUAUAACAGUGAACAAACAAGUCCAUGUCUGCCUUCGUGAGGCUUACGUUCAAGGGUGGAGACUCAGACAAUAGAUAAAUAAGAUACUAAAUAUACAAUAAGCCUGGUUUAUCUGGGAGAAGGAGAGAGGAAGUCUUUGGCUACCAUUUGCAUUUCUGUAACAUUUUUUGGUCUAUGUAAGUUCUCUAUUUCUUUUUGUAUCAAUAUUGGCAUUUUAUAUAUGUUAGAAUUUAUCAAUUUCAUAUAGGUUUUCAAAUUUAUUAGUGUAGAGAGUUUUAUUUUUUAUUUUCAACUUUUUAAUCUUAUGGUUUAAAUUUUCUGUGUAGAUAACGUAUUGUUGGACCUUUUUAAAAAAGCCCCAUCUGACAGUUUCCGUCUUCUAAUUGGAGCAUUUAGCCCAUUUAUAUUUAUUUUCUAUUUGGACUUAGUUGGCCAUCUUAUUUCCUAUUUUCCAUUUAUAUAUCUUCUUUUUUUCUUUUAUUCUUGCUUUCCAUUAGAUAUAUUAAAUUUUCAUCUGCUGGUUUAAAAGCUAUACUCUAAUUUUGUACACCUGAUAAUUGCUUUAAACUUAGGACUAAUAUUUUUAUUUUCUCCUACUAACGUAUUAAACUUAUAAGUAUUUAUGUCUUUCCCCUAGAAAAGUAAGUACUCUAGUCUACUCUCAUGUCCUUCACUCUCUUGCCCACCCCAUCCCCUUCUUAUUUUCUUUUUUUCAAUUACUAGAUUUUUUUGUUACCUUCCUGAAUUUACCUCUCUUAGAUUUUGAGUAUUUUCUCCAAAAUUAUUUUCAAUGUGUGUUUGUGUGCUUUUUUGGUAUCUUGUAUUCCUGAGAAUAUUUUUAUUAUCCCUCAUAUUUUAGUGCCAAUUUCUGGAUAUAAAGUUCUAACUUCCAAAUCAUUUUCUUUCAAUUAUUUAAGAAGAUUACUCUUUUGUCUCUUUGUAUCCACCACUUCUUUGGAGAAGACUAAUGUCAGUCUUUGUGGGUGGUCUACUCUUUCUCCAGGUAGGUAUUCUCUACUCUCUGGAGUCUUCUAGGAUUUUACCUUUGUCUUGGGACAAUUUAAAAAAUAUCUCUAUAAUGUAUCUAGAUGUGAGUUUUAGUCUCUGUCUAUUUUCAAUGAGAAGUCUUUCAUCUUUGGUUAAUUCUAGAAAAUUAAUGUCCAUUUAUUUGUUCAAGUAUUUUCUCCUUUCUAUUUUUGUUUUACUUCCUCUUGUUAGAACUCCUAUUAUUUGGAUGUUGGAACUUCUAAUCGUUCUACAUCUUAUCUUAGAUAUUCUUUUUUUCCUUUGUAUUUCUUUCUUUUCUUUCCUUUUUUUUUUUAAAAUUUUCCUGCUGCCCUCUGGGAGAAUUCCUCAGUCUGAUCUUUCGGGUCACUAAUACAUUCUUCAGCUGAAUCAGACCUACCAUUUGAUCCAAUGUCAAUAUUUCCACUUGGUUUUUAAAAAUAAAUUGUCCAUGUCCCAUAAUGCAAAUAUUUGUUAUAUUUAUUUUAAAUUCUUGGUCUAUUCUUCUGCUUCAUAUGGUAAAGAGUGUUCAGCUUACUAUUUUUGUUGUGUUUUUUUUGUAGUCUUACUUUUCAGGUGUCUAGCAUUUUUCCCAGUAAGCACAUGCUGCCCUGGUAGCAUACUUUAGGGGAGUUCCAACAGAGGGCUCUCGUCCGUGUCUGUCCUUGUGAGUAUGAAGUGUGGGCAGUGGAUAGUGGCACCACAGAGCCACAGUUGGUCACCCCUGAUUGCUGACUCCCCAUAAGGCAACUCUUUGGUUCAGGUUUUCAGCUUUAAACCUUUAAGGCCUAGAUGUGAUGUGGUAUCCUGCAUUAGAUCCUGGGACGGACAGAAUAAGGACAUUAAUGGAAAAACUGGCCAAAUCUGAAUAAAGCUGGUAGUUUCAUUAAUAGCAACAUACCAAUGUUAAUUUUGACAAACGUGCCACAGUUUUGUAAGAUGUUAACGUGAGGGGAAACUGAGUGAAGAGUACACAAGAAACCUCUGUACUAACUCUGCAACUUCUCUGCAAAUCUAACAUUAUUCUAAAAUAAAAAGUUUUUAUAAAUAUCUUUGAAAAUAAGUGAGCUGUAUACUCAUAAUAUGUGUAUUUAUCUAUAGGUGUAUUUUGCUUAAAUAAAAGAUUUUUAAAAAUGUAAAACACACACGUGCACACACACAUGCACCCCACCCCCCCCAAGCCCUUUAAAUACGAGCACCAGUGGGUGGACAGAGCCCCCUUAGUUGUAACCUCCAGCGUGUGAGGGCUGAAGGCAGAGAGUGGAAGACUGAGAGCUCAAGGGAGCUGGCCCCUCUCUGCCAGAAGCUGUCCCAGAGUUCACGGAUGCUCUUCUUAUUUUCACAGGUUGUUUUUUCUCUGUUUCAUUUUGCGGAGGUUCUACUGCUAUGCCUUCAAGUCCGCUAAUCUUUUUUUCUGCACUUUCUAAUCUCCCAUUAAUCCAACCAGUGCCUUUGUCAUCUCAGACAUUGUGGUUUUCAUCUCUAGAAGUCCGAUUUGGGUCUUUUGUGUAUUCUCCAUGUCUAUUUAAUUGUUUGAACGUUGGGAGUACAGUAUGAUAACUGUUUAAGGUCCUUCUCUGCUGAUUCUGACAUCUGUGUUAGUUCUGAGCUGGUUUUGAUUGAUUGGCCUCAUUACGGGUCAUGUUUUCCUGAUCUUUUGCAUGCCUGGGAGGCUUUGAUUGGCUAUCAGACGUAGAGGUUACCUUGUUGGUGUUGGAUAUUGUGUGUUGUCACUCCGGAGUUUUGUUCUGGGACGCAGUUACGUACUUGGAGACAAUGUGACUCGUUCGGGUCUCACUUGGAUCACUUGCUGGGAGGUCUAGAGCAGUGCAGUUUAGGGCCGGUUACUCCUCACCACUGAGGCAACAGCUUCCUGCCUGCUCUACUCCACGUCCUGUCACUUAGGAGUUUUUCCAGUCUGGGUGGUGGCUGUGGACACCGUUCCCAGCCCCCUGUGAGCACUAGGCUUUGUUCCCUCUAAUCCUUUCAGGUGGUUCCUUCCUCCACCUGAGGACGUGUUGUUGAUGGAUGCACGGAUGGUCCUCUGCAGGUUUCCGAGGUUCUCUCUGUCCAGAGCUCUCCUCUCUGCUGCUCUGUAUUAUGAUCUGACUGCUUUGGUCCCUCUGGACUCUUAGCUCUGUCUCCUCAGCUCAGAGAAUCUGCCAGGUUGUGCCUCAGUUUCCCCUCAUGGGCCACAGCCGGGAACUCUCAGAAGGCAUAAGUUGGGGCAACCAUAGGGCUCACCUCAUUUGCUUCUGGUCUCUCAGGCCUGGGUGUCCUCUGUUGUGUCACCACCAGUGUCUUGAAAACAACCGUUUCGUGUAUUUUUUGUUUCUUUUUGUUUCCCUUUCUUUCUUUCAUUUUUGCUUUUGGUGUUUCAGACAGGAGAGUAAGUCAGUCCCUGUUCCUUUGUCAUGGCUGGAAGCAGAGGUCCUGGCAUUCUUUUUUGUUCUCUAUAUUUCAUUGAGAUGUGCUUUCUUGGUCUGUUUAGGGAGGUGUCUGUGAUGAGGGCAAAGAGAGGUCAGGACAGCUGUCCCGGUUUCAAAGCUCAAGGGCUCCCUCUUCCGUUGUUACCAAGAAGAACUCAAAAGGGGGCCUCUCUCUGUAGCCACUUCAUCUCUUAGAGGUAAGCUUUCUGCCUCCUGUCUGUGUUUUCUAGAGCUCAACAGGCUUUCCCUGCCAAGGUGGGUGGGGCAUAAGUCCUGAUAAAUAGAGCAAACAGUAGGCUGUGUUGAAGGGGAAGCCCAUUUGUGAAAUGGCAGGGCCGGGGGACAGGCCAGGGCAGAUGCAGAGGCGAGGUGGAGGCACGGGCUGAGGCCAGGCCGAUGACGACGCCAAAGCUGGGGCCAGACACAAGGCCACACGAGAACGGCGUUUAAGGAAAAGUCCACUCAUUUGCAUGUUCCACGUGGGGCAGGGACAGAGACAGACUGUAAGUCUGACAAAACGGGGGAGACAGCGUGUACAAGAAAAGGCCCACACAUGUCUACGUAGGAUGUUGAGCUCUUGAGAAGAGUUUGGUGUCUGCAGCACAUCCGUGGCAGAGCUGGCUGGCUGCCCACUAAGGAUAAGUGCUUCCCUUUGCUCGGCUCCCAGGGUUGUCACCAUGGGGAGGCUGCCUGCUCAGGGACCACAGUCCCAGUCCUCUUUGUAGGUAGACAUGCGACUUAGAGCCAGGCCACCGAAUGUGAGUGGUGGUGUUGUCACCUCCCACACAGGCCAAGACCCCCCAGGGCACUCCUUGAAGUCAGUUGGUGACAACAGCAGAGCCUGCGUUAUCUUGGGGCUAGCCCAGCUAACAAGGGCAUGAACAAAUUUGCUCUCCUGGAGGUGAAACAGCAACAUCAUGUUAAGAACAUUCUCAGUGAUGCAGUGAAUUGAUCAUUUGGCAAAUUGACUUUUGACUAUCUGGGUUUUCAGCAGAUUCUUCCUUGAGGAUAUAUAUAUUUUUUGCUUGGCUUGCUUCCUUUGGAAAGACCAAAUGGUGCUCUGAGGAGAACGGUACACUGGUUUUAGCUAAGAGGCAGCUGAUUUUACUCUUGGAUUUAUUUCAUCGAUCUUUGGCCCUGUGGCAGGUGGGGAAGGACUUACCUUCAUUCUCCUUCCAUCCAUAGCAGGCUGAGGCCCCUACAAAGCUCCCACUACUCUUCAGAGGAAGAAACGAAGGGAAGUAGGGUGGGGGGGAAGGGCGAUCACAGAGGAGACGCGCCUUUGGUUGCCCAAGCUGGACUAAGCAUGGACAAGAAAGGCUCACGCAGACAAGACGAGCAAGUUUCGCCCCACCUCUGGACCAGCUGUGUGUGCGCACUGCAUUGGGUCAUUACUGAAACGUGUCCUGUAAAGUCCUGCCCUUCCUAAUGUUAGGGGCACAACAAGGAAGUUAUAGGUUUAACUCCUUCGUUUCAGAGGUGGGCAAACUGAGAGCAGAGAGACACAGGCUGCCUAAGGUCACUGUUUGUAAGCUGCAGAGUUGGGAUUUCCCACAUUUACUGAUUCCGAGACCUCACAGAGGCCGGUCCACUCCUCACGCCAUGUGCACAUUUCCAGCAGCUGACCUUGCCUGCCUGUGAGUGGGUGGAAACCACAGGGUGGGCCUGCAGGGAGACAAGGCCCCCCAUUGCUGGGGCGUCUCCUAGACCGCAUGGUGCAGGGAGAGUGACUCCGUGGAAGGGACUUCUUGCACAGGUCCCCCACCCGCGCAUCUGUUCCGGGGUUCAUUCUCAGGGGAAUCCCUCCUGCCUUCAGCCGAUGGCCCCACGUGGCGAGUGGCUUAGGUCAUUCUCACCACGGCCCUGGGACGGUGACCACAGAGGGUGACCACAGGGCUGGGGAGCUGGUGCUGUCUGGAAAGCAGUUUCCCUUUUAACGUCUGUCUGGAGCUGAGUUGCUCUUCACACUCUCCCAGCUCCCGCCUGCCCUCGCCAGGCCCCUCCCGGUGGGUUUGAUUGUUCUGAGCCUGGGCUGUGACCUUGUCUUUCCCUGGAGCCCACAGAAUGGUGUGCAAACCCCCAGCCCAUCGUGGCCGCCCUCGCCUCUGUGUGUCUGACGUGUCGGGGACGCCUUGCUGUUCCCCGAGAACACCAGUUGCUUUCGUACCUCCGUGCUUUUGCACAAGCUGUUUCUUCUGUCUAGACUUUUCUCCCCCAGCUGGACUGCUUGGAACACUCUCUCCUCAUUCUCUUAUUUUUUAAAAUUAUUUAUUUUUAAAAGGUGUAGUAAAAUAUAUGUAACAUAACAUUUAACAUUUGAGCCAUUUUUUAGUGUACAAUUCAGUGGCAUUAAGUACAUUCACGUUGUUGUGCAACCGUCACCACUGUCCAUAUUCAGAGCUCUUCACUUCGCAAAACUGAAACUCUGUCCCCCUUAAACAAUCACCCCCCGUUGCCCUCCCUCAGCCCCUGGGAACCACCGUUCCACCUCUGUCUCUGUGAACUGGACUACUCCCGCUGCCUCGUAGGGGUGGAAUCAGACAGUGUCUGUCCUUUUGCGACUGACAUUUCACUUAGCAAAGUGUCUUCAAGAUUCAUCCAUGUUGUAGUAUGGGUCACAGUUUCCUUCCUUUUUAAGGCUGAGUCAUGUUUCGUUAUAUGUGUAGACCACAAUUUGUUUACCUGUUCUUCUGUUGAUGGACACUUAGAUUGAUUCCACCUUUCGGCUAUUGUGACUUAAUUUGUGUCCUAACAUAUGGUCUGUCCUGGGGAAUGUCCCGUGUGCCCUUGAGCAGAAUGUGUAUGCUGUUGUUGGGAAGAGGGUUCUGUGUCGUCUGUUAGAUCCAGUUGGUUUAUUCUGUUGUUCAAGUCCUCUCGUUCCUUCCUUAUCUUCUGUCUGGUUCUUCUAUAAAUUACUGAGAAAGAGGUAUUGAAGUUUCCAACUAUUCCUGUAGAAUUGUCUGUUUCUCCCUCCAAUCCUGUCAGUUUUUGCUUCAUAUAUUUUGGUGGUCUGUCAUUGGGUGUGUGCAUGCUCCUUCUGGGUCGUCAAGACUCUCUCAAAUGCUCCCUCUGCGGGCCCUCACCCCUGCAUCCCCUGGCCCAGGCAGAGUUCUUGUACUGCGUGCUGGUUCCAUUGUACCUUGUCUACCCCUCUGUGUACCUCCUUCUGUCUGAGUGAAUCAGGGACAUGUCUGUCUUCCCAGUUAGUUUGUCUUGGAGGACACAGAAUUUUAUCUCAUUUAUGUUUACAUCUGCAGAAUCUGGCAUGGUAGGUGCCCAGUGAAUGUUUGUUGAAUGGAUAUUUGUUAUUGAACCCAAUUGUUGUGUCACCCAUGUGCUUCCUGGGAUAAAAAUAAUUAUAGUCAGAAAUUCUCGACACAUCAAUGCUUUUUCUAUAAGUAAACUAUAGCCUCCAAGGUGCUCGCUCUCCUCUCUCAUCCAAUCCUUACCACCACCCUGUGAGGGAGGCAGGGCAGGGGUGUACAGCUCCAUUUUAUAGGACAGAAAACUGAGACCCAGAGACUCAGGCUGAGUGUCUUGCCAGAGGUCAAGAGGGUAAGGGGCAGAGCUGGGACUUGAACCCAGGUUGAUCUGGCUCCUGACCAGGGUUCCUUUCUUGGUGCCCACUGCCCCGGUAGGCUCCGCUCUUUGUGGCCACCCUGACUAGGAUCACAGCCUCUGUGUGUGGGUGAGGCUGGGACUGGCACAUGUGAGGGCUGAGCUCCUUUUCUCUUGGGGAAUUUCAAGUUUAUCUCUGGAUGUGUUGCAAGGAGUUCCGAGCGAGUCUAUGCGAUACACCACACUAGAUCCAUUUUAGAGAUGCUGAACACUGAGUGCCUUGCUCCCUGUGGCACAGGUAGGAGGAGCUGGGCCUCCAAUCUGGGCUUCCUCAACCCCAAGUAUAAUGUGCAUCUCAUUUGAUCUGAAGUACCCUGGACUAUCUUGGGAUCGUCAAGGAGCUUUUUCUUGUUUUGAAUUAAAAUCUGCCCCUUGUGACCACUCCUUACUCUGUCUCCUGGAACCUGCAGAGUGUGGCUGCUCUCUCUGCUCCCGACACCCUUCCAGGGAUCUGGCCACACUGCCACAGUCCCCUGAAUUUCUUCUUCCUCAGGUUUAGUGGCUCCAGUGUCUUCAAGCUCCUCCACUGCGUUUCCAGGGACCUGAAGUCCAGCCCCUCCUUCUCUGGGUCGCCUCCUCCGGACGUGCUCCUGUUUGUCUGUGGCUGGGUUUGAGCGACGCCCGUAACGGGGCCUCACUGGCUGGCAGGGAGAGACUGCAGAGGGCUCGAAUCACAGCUUCCUCAAAUGGACAGGCAGGUGGCUGCCGGGCAGAGAGCAGGAGGAGGAGGAAAGAGAGAACAAAAAUAGAAGGGCCGGUGUUGCUGUGGGCCAAGCUGCUUCCCAGCAUGCUCUCGCCAGGUGGCCCCAGUCCAGGGGAGCCCACGUGGCCCCGUGCUGGUCGCAGGGUGAGCCACCUGGGGGAGUGCCGGACGUUCCUAGGCUGUUCCCCUGCAGUGGUUGGAGAGCAGUUUUGGAUGGUGUUUGGCAGAGAGUCCAUACUGUGGUCCCUGAGACCUUGGUGACCUGGAAUUCUGUUCACAACUCUCUUCCUUCCUGUCCCUGGGGUCCUCUAGAGGUGGCUAGCUUUACCGAUCCAUUGACUGGCCUUGAUAGUGAGGGGCAAACAAGGAUGUGGGAUGACCAGAGAGGGUCCAAUGAAGGCCUCAGGUUACUUUUCCUAUAAAUGGUGAUAAUAAUCGCACUUCCCUUAUAGGAUUGCUGAAUAUGCAGAGGAAGGCCACGCAUCCAAUGCUUCGUGCAAUGGCCGACGCUGUAAAGUGCAAUGUCUGCACCUGCACUUGGUACUCAUCCUGGGAGCGUCUAGAGAUGUUUCCCUCGGGACACUCAGGAGGCCUCAGUGAGGUCUGUCACCUCCGUGCUCUGAAAGCUUUUGUGGGCUGAGGACUAGACUGGAUAGCAAGAUCAGAUUUCAGUCCUGGCUCUAAGUUGCUGUGUGACCCAGGGCAAGCUCCUUCCCCUCUCUGGGCCUCCAUACCAUGAAGGACUUGUGCUAGAUCUUUGAGGUCCUUGGGUCCAUGGAGGCUGGGGGAUCUGGGCCAUGGGCAGGGUGUUACUUCCUGAUGCUCUUGACUCUUUGGGGAAGGGUGCCUCCCUCCACUCCACCCUUUGCCGAGCUGUUCUGCUGGUUCCUUAGACAGGCCCCACAGGUGCUGUCGAUGGGGCUGGAACUGGGGGUUCUGCGGCCAAGACUGUCUGUUCCCCUUGCCUGGGGGUGGGAGCUGGGCCCAGCACCCACUGCUGCGCGCCCUGAAGACACCUGAGGCAAGGGGAGCCGCCUGGAUUACCCUCAGGGUUCUUGCCCUGCUGCCCUGGACAACCUGACCCAUGUCCUCAGGUCACCGGGGAGAGUUCAGCAUGUCCUGCUGUGACAUGUGGCCAAACGGCAGUAAAACCCAAGCCUGCCUGUGGCCAGGUGAUCCUCAUGGAGCUAGCCAGCCCUGACUCAGAGCCCAGCCUGCCGGCCCCUGAGCCAGCAGUUCCCGGCCGUGACACAGAAAUCACGCCGUGGGGGAUGGUAUCAGGCUGCCGAAAGCGUGUCCCUGGCUCCAGGGCCAAGGAGAGGGAUGCGAUGUCAGCCCAGCACCAGCUGGGCCGAAGAACAGCUGACUCCUGCAGCGAAAGCUGAGACGCGGUCCCAAGUGCAAGACUGGCCGGUCUUGAAGUCUCAGGACAGGGACGGCUGAGGGUCCAAUCCACUGCCAAGGAGACAGCUGGACCGACCCUCUGAGGCCAAGCCCCUGAUCCCACCGUCCACCUGACUGUGUGUGACCUUCACCCGCUUCCUGCCCCUUCUUCGGGCCUCCGUUCCCCGUCUGGGCUGGAUAUGAAGGUGUCAAGAGAACAAAUUUUGUGGUGUCUUUACUUAAAAUUUGGGGGCCCUGUUCCUUCCGCCUUUAAUGGCAGUGUUACCAUGAAGGGUAAAUAUAUGAUGUGUAACAAUCUGCUGCCUUGGACCUUCUCCCUCUUUCCUACAGCCUGCCCUUUCCUCACCAUGUCCUGUGUCAGAGCGGGUACCUGUUUGCCCAUUUUCUAGAAGGAAAAUUACCUUCAUUCUGGAUUAUAGCAAAUGACAACUUGGACAUUUCAGCAUACCGCUGAAGAGGUUUGGACUGACCAAGGAGGUCUUAUUUCUACUUCCAGCUCUACCAGUAGGGUCUUGAGCAAUUCUCUUCCCCUGCGGGGCCUCAGUUUCCCUUUUUGUAGUGUGAAGUGUUUGGGCCAGGUGAUCUCAAAACUUCUUUCCAGUUUUGCCUCAGGGUUUCUAAUUUCCCCUUGGAAAUUUAACCUUUUCUCCCCGCUUUGUCUCACAAAUGGAUGAAAUGGGAAGGACCAAGAAGUGAAACCACUUGGCUAUGGGCCAGCUCAGAAGAACAGCGAAACCUCUAACUGCUAAUGCGGACGGCAGUUAGAAAAAUGCUGUCCCACCCCUGUUUGCAAAAAAAGGUGGGGUGCUUAAUGUUCGUGUCUCGCCGUGGUGGAGGAGUUUCACGAGUGGUCAUGCGCGCGCACACACACACACACACACACCCGGGGAGGGAGGAGGUGCUGGGCAAGCAGGGGCUUUUGGAGAAUGUUUGUCCCUGAAUGAAAGUCAGGCGGAAAAGUGCACUUGGCGCCUGGCCUUGCUGGGAUUCUCUUCAUGGUAGAGCCAUAAUUUGUUUUUCCACAGACCUUGACAUUAUUUAAGGGAAUUCCAGAAGCUUCAUGUGAGCAGUGAGUACCCGGUAUCCUAGGGCUGCCUGCCAGGGAGGCGACCUAGCUUGGCGUCUGCUGCCACAGUCUGCUGAUGGCGAGCUGGCCGUGGCUGCCCGGGGCCCUCAUGGCAUCCGGGGUCAUGUGAGAGACUUGUCAGGGAGCUGGUGCUCUCCUCUUGGGCAUUUGGGUGAGAGCCUCUGCUGUGGAGCUGUCAGCAUGCUGUGUCCAAUGGGUGCCCCUGUGCGGACUGUGGACGGGCCACACUCCAGGCAGCCCUCCUGGCCUCCUGUUGCCCUGCUCUGCGGCUGACAGAGACCCACGGUCAUAUCGCUCAUCCGUGCUGCCCGCAGCCUGGCUGCUUUUCUGAGCAGCUGGGAAUUUAGGUCUUUGUGAGUGGAGCCUUGGACAGUGAGCAGGAGAGGAGGCGGAAGGGCUUUCGGGAUAUGGAAUUGCAGGGGGAGAUUCAUAACAAAUUCGGGUAACACAAAAUACUCCAGUUUGCCCAGACUAGAUCGAAGGUUCCUAUGUGCCUGACCACAAACCUGGGAUGAUUCGUGAAGAAUGGUCUUCCCUCACAGCAAAAUGGGAAAAAUAAAGCCCGUAGGAUGAAUUUCAUAAUCCUAAUGUAGCUUGAGGAAUUAUUCUUCAUUUUUAGAGCUAUCCUUGCUACUUUUUAAUGUUAAAGUGUUUUUCUCCUUAGAAAAGGGUAAUGAUAGUGAUGUUAGGUGGUAGUUGGUUUUUAAAAAUGUACCUACCUGACAACCCUAUGUCAAUCCUCUGCCAUUAAAAGAAGUAUUUUUCCUGAUGGAUGAUUUCCAACAAUCUAGGGACCAGUGUCCCCCAAGGGGACUCAUGGAUAGAGGGUGACGGGAGAAAGGGCAGAGUGGUAGGCAAGAGGGGAGGUGGAAGGCAUGGGUCUGUCAGCAGCAGGGCACCAUGUCAGUUUCAGUUGCCGCAGUCUCCUCAGCAUCUAGCAUGUGGGUCAGUAAAGUUUCUUCUGUAAGCAACCAGUAGUAAAUAUUUGAGGAUUUUUGAGCCAUACUGCCUCUGUCACAACUACUUGACUCUGCCCUCUUAGUGCAAAAUCCAUCAUUGACAAUAUGUCAGUGAGUGAGUGGGGCUGUGUUCCAAUAAAACUUUAUUUACAAAAACAGGCAGUGGGCCUGAUUUGGCCCAGAGAUUGUAGUUGGCUGACCCCAAUCUAGCACAAGGCCUAGCAUCUAGCAGAUGUUAGUGAGUAUUUAUCAAAUUGAUAUACAUUGUUUCCAGUGGGCAAAGGGGAGACAUUGGAGGAGUCUGAGGUAGCAUUUCAGAAAGCUCACUGAGGUAGGCUGUGUAACACGGCUGGGGGAGCAUGAAGGAAAGCCAUUUUACACGGUAAGGAGUUGUUACAAUAUCUCAGGCCCAGAGUGGUGAGGGGCAGCCUGGAGCAGGGCAGGUGGGGAGGAGCGAAGAUGUGGGAGUGACUGAGCUGUUGUGAUGGGGAUGUUUAAAGGGAGAAGGAAAAGCCAUGAAUGGCUGGAAUUAAAGCCCCUGUUCCUUAGCUUUUCAUACCCCAAACCAUGCUUCUAGAACUCAGAGCCCUAUUCCAUCUUAAAAAGCUUGGCUCUUCCAAACCAAAAUCUUGGCUUUCAAGACUGUUUUUGCUAUGAAUUUCAAAAGCCCACUUCAAAAGCCAAGAAUUUGAUUCUUGCUUUCCCUUUACAUUUCAGCUAUGCCAGCUUCGCUUGGAGGCAGUAAGUCCUGAAUGUCUUAGCCUCCUGGUUUUCUUUCAAUGGGAGAAGGGCUGUGCAUUAAAAAAAAAUGAGAAUGAAAAUGUACUUGUUACCUUAUCAAAAUAUUUUUCUGCCCUAUUAGGUACUAAUAAGAGGCAGGAAAGUCUGGGGAGGGUGCUCCCGUUGGUGAAGGUGUGAUGAGUCGGUUUGGAUGUCUGCAGUCAUGGGGGAUGUUCAUUUGGGAAGUCCGGUGGCAUUCAGAAUUGCUGCCCAAGUUCCCCUGAAGGGCGAGUCUGGCUGGAGAGUCCUGGAGUGAGCUGAGAAAAGAGGAAUUCUCUAACAGUGGGAAGAGCCAGAAAAUCUGCAGUUUAACUUUCAAAAAAUGCCAUCAUUCACGGAGCAGAAGACCGGGGUGAAGGCAGUGGAGGGGCCCCAGAAAUGUGUGGAGCAUCAAGAUAGGGUACUGUCACCAAGACUGAGAAAGAGAAACUCUCCGGGGGAAAGGCCUGCUUAGAAGCAUACAAUCUUAAGGUUUCUCUCUUUGGUUGACUUAUUCCUUCCCAAACAUUCAGAACUUCCCUCUCUGUGUCUGGCUGUAUUUCAGGAGAAAAGGACACACAAUCAAACCCAGCCCUUUAGCAGCCUUUAGUGAGGGAAAGAGAGGCAAACAUAAUUGUGGUUCAUGAGAAGGCCUCCCACGGAGGUCUGGCUAGAGUGCCGCUUAGAUCUCCCUUCAGAAAGAGAAAGCUUAAGGGAGAUCAAACUCUCUUUCCUGCAAAGCUGCUCGAAGAAGGGAGGGGGAUAUUUUGGAGGUACCAAGUUCCCUGUCAUCAAGGGUGUUCAAAGGUUGCUGGAUGAGCAUCUGGUGGGAAUGUUACCCCUCCCUUAUGGCCUUUCUUCCAACCUUGAGAUUAGAAACAAAUCUUUGGGUUCCACUUCUGUCUGUUUCCCCAGAUAAACUCUCAGGUGGCCGCAGCUAUGAAUUUGGCUAGAGGGAUGGGUUUCUAGGAGCAGAAAAGCAAUGGGAAUAGCCCCGUGUGAGGGGAGGGACACUGAGGCAGUGGGCAAAGUCUUGCAUUCUAGUCCCAGCUCUGUCCUUGGCUCACUGUGGGACCCAGGACAGAUCCUUCUCUUCCUUGGGCCUCACUGUCCCCUUCUGUGCCGGGAGGUCAGACUCGGUGUUCUCUGUGGUCUAUCCCACUGCUCCUCCCCCUGACUCUGGGGAAGGACCGUAUUUUAAAAUACAGCUUUAUUGAGAUAGAGGUCACAUACCACACAAUUCACUCAUUUAAAGCGCAGAAUUCAAUGGUUUUUUAGUAUAUUAAUGGAGUUGGGCAACCAUCGCUAACAUCAGCAUUAGAACGUUUUCAUCAUCUCCCAAAGAAACCCCAUACCCUUUAGCCAUCAGCUCCUAAUCUCCCCAUCCCCCUUGGUCCUAGGCAACCACCAAUCUUUCUGUCUCUAUGGAUUUGCCUAUUCUGGGCCUUUCAUAUAAAUGGAGUCAUAUAAUGUGUGUUUUUUUGUGUCCGGCUUCUUUCAUUUAGCACGUUUCCAAGCUUCAUCUGUGUGGUAGCAUGUAUCAGUACUUCGUUCUUUUUUAUUACCAAAUGCUAAGCAAUAUUCCAUUGUAUAGCCAUACUACAUUUUAUUUAUCCUUCAUCAGUUGAUGGACAUGGGGUUGCUUCCACUUUUCAGCUAUUAAGAGUAGUGCUGCUGUGAGCAUUGGUGUGCAGGUUUUUAAUAUGGACGCACGUUUUCAGUGCUCUUGGGUAUUUACCUGGGAGUGGACUUGCUGGAUGAAUUCUUCUCCAAUCUGAUGGCCCACACCACCCAUUCACAUUCCCCAUGCUCCAGGCACAGCGGGGCUCUAGCCCCUUGCCCAAGCCCGUGCUUUCAGGCCCCUCACCCUGUUGCCCACACUACUAUUUCCCCUGAGAAGCUCUUCCCGCCCAUCAUUUUGGGUCCAAAUCCUAUGUGUUACUAAAGGCCCAGCUCAACUCUCACUUCCUUCACAAAACCUUCCUCCAGUGCUGCCUCUGGUGAGAGUCACACAGCCCCUUAUGACGCUGGGCCUUCCGGCUCUGGAGCACAGUUAUUCUGUUACCUUCCUAGACUGUCCCCCUCCCAGCUUCAUGUAGACUGGUGUUUGGAUUUGCUUUAAUAUUCCCAAGUGCUUUGUACAUAGCAGAGCCUGCAUAAAUGUUUGAAUAGUGAGCAUUUGCUGUGUUCUGUUAUUUAGUGAUUGUAAGAUGAUACCUCUACACCCUCUGUGGCAAUCAGGACUGUGAAAGCCCUUGCCAUCUUCUCGAAUGAAGACACAUUUUCCAGGCAGCACCCGGGGAAUAAGGCUGAGCUGCCUGCUGUUCCCCUGGCUCGUUCUCCCUGUCCCCAGUCUGACAGGGGCAUCUCAGCUCUUCCUCGCGUUUCUAGCUAAAAUCUAAUGAAUUACUCUGAGAAACAAGGUUAUGCAUUUUGGAUCCUGACUUCUUUGAGCAUUGCUCAUGACUCUGAAAUUUAUAAACAUAGUCAGCUGUCUCCCCAGAUGACCUACCAAAUGAUAUUCCCCUAGAAAGCAGAGCUCCAUUAGAUGCUAAGGCAUCAGAUAGGGAAAUGGACUAGAUGACUUCCUGCCCUAUGCAAGGUAGGGUGUGGCCCUGACAAAUGCUCAUCUGGUCUCAGAUUGAACAUUUCCAAUAACAAGCAAAUACCUUCCUCCCAAGGCUGCCCAAGGGCAGGGAAGUUCUUCUUGACCUUGGAGUAAAACCCGCCGUCCUGCAGAUGUCGCCCAUGUUGGCUCGGCCCCCUGGGCCCCUCAGACCACCUCCACUCCUUCUGCUCCAGCACAGCUUUUCAAGUCUUGAAAACAGGACCGAAGCUUCUGUGUUUGUUCUUAUGCAGACAGCACAGCCCCAGCUCCUUCAAUUUUCUUCAGUCGCUCAGAAGAUGAGAUUGGAGAAUACUCCAGCACAGUAUACUAAAGCACAUUUUCUAGAUUUUCUUUCUCUAAAAUAUUUGAAUUCAUUUCUCUGAAUAUAACAUUUCUUCAGGUAUUGUAACUUUUGUAGAUAUUUGUUGCAUUUUAAACGUUUCAUAGGAAUUGGAUAAUUUUGAGAUGUGAAGACAGCAAACAAGGGCAGCAUACAUCUGAAGGAAACUGUAAAAUUGUAAUUUUGUAAAAUCGACUUAGUACUACAAACAAAACAAACCCAGUUAUUUAUUUUACAGCCAUGGUAGAAACUCAGCCGUGAGAAUUCUGAAACACUGAGAAAGCAGUCCCUCCCUCUGUCCUUUGGGUCUCGUCCCUUCCUGCCAUCUAAGGAGCUGUUACAACCUGUUCUCUCCUGUGUAUUCAAUCAUUGUUUCCCAACUGGAUCAUCCCAUUGACAGGGAGCCAUGUUAAACCCUUUCCCACGUAAGAAAGCGGCUGAUGCUGCGCAUCCCACACAGAGCUGCCCCUCUCUCCUCUCCUUUUACAGCUAAAUGCCUCCACAGAGUUGUCUACACUUGCUGCCCCAUUUCCUCACCUCCCACUCAGUCCUCAACCCUCUCUACCCUAACUUCUGGUCCCAUCGGUCUACCAAAAUAGUCCUUAACAAAGUCACCAAGCCUCUCCACUUCAUUGCAUCCCGUGGCCAUUUUCAGUCCUUAUUUCACUUGACUCUUCAGCCACGCUUGACACUAUUG
rnacentral:lncRNA from 1 species